rnacentral:rRNA from 1 species
UAAUUGAAGAGUUUGAUCAUGGCUCAGAUUGAACGCUGGCGGCAGGCCUAACACAUGCAAGUCGGGCGGUAACAGGGAGAAGCUUGCUUCUCUGCUGACGAGCGGCGGACGGGUGAGUAAUGU